GCCGGGUGCGGUGGCAUGUGCCUGUAAUCCAAGUCACUGGGAGGCUGAGGUUGGUGGAUCAAGUGAGCUGAGGAGCUCUGGGCUGCAGCACACUAUGUUGAACGGGUGUCCACGCUAAGUUCGGUAUCGAUAUGGUGUUCCAGGGGGAGCCCGGGACCACCAGGUUGUCUAAGGAGGGGUGAACCGGCCCAGGUCGGAAACGAAGCAGGUCAAAUCCCCCGUGCUGUCCAGUAGUUGGAUAAUACCUGUGAGUAGAUGCUGCAGUGCAGCCUUGGCAAAACAUCGAGACCUAAUUUAUU
rnacentral:SRP_RNA from 1 species